CCUACGGGAGGCUGCAGUGGGGAAUAUUGCACAAUGGGGGGAACCCUGAUGCAGCGACGCCGCGUGAGUGAAGAAGUAUUUCGGUACGUAAAGCUCUAUCAGCAGGGAAGAAAAAAGGACGGUACCUGAGUAAGAAGCCCCGGCUAACUACGUGCCAGCAGCCGCGGUAAUACGUAGGGGGCAAGCGUUAUCCGGAAUUACUGGGUGUUAAGGGAGGGUAGACGGCAAUGCAAGUCCGGAGUGGAAUGCGGCGGCUAAACUGCCGAAAUGCUCUGGACACGGUAUGGCGGGAGUGCAGGAGGGGUAAGCGGAAUUCGUGGUGUAGCGGUGAAAUGCGUAGAUAUCAGGAGGAACACCGGUGGCGAAGGGGGCUGAAUGGAGUGUAACGGACGUUGAGGCUCGAAAGCGUGGGGAGCAAACAGGAUUAGAUACCCCUGUAGUC
rnacentral:rRNA from 1 species